rnacentral:rRNA from 1 species
UACAGAGGGUGCGAGCGUUAAUCGGAAUUACUGGGCGUAAAGCGCACGUAGGCGGCUUGGUAUGUCGGGUGUGAAAUCCCCGGGCUCAACCUGGGAACUGCAUCCGAAACUGCCUUGCUCGAGUAUGGGAGAGGGAAGUGGAAUUUCCGGUGUAGCGGUGAAAUGCGUAGAGAUGCGGAGGAACACCGAUGGCGAAGGCAGCCCCCUGGGCUAGCACUGACGCUCAGGCACGAAAGCGUGGGGAGCAAACAGG